rnacentral:rRNA from 1 species
UACGGGGGGGGCAAGCGUUGUUCGGAAUUACUGGGCGUAAAGGGUUCGUAGGUGGCCAACUAAGUCAUACGUGAAAUCCCUCAGCUUAACUGGGGAACUGCGUCUGAUACUGGUUGGCUUGAGUGCAGGAGAGGAACGCGGAAUUCCAGGUGUAGCGGUGAAAUGCGCAGAUAUCGGGAGGAACACCUAUGGCGAAGGCAGCUCGCUGGGACGUUACUGACGCUGAGACGCGAAAGCGUGGGGAGCAAACAGG